UACGUAGGGUGCGAGCGUUGUCCGGAAUUACUGGGCGUAAAGAGCUCGUAGGUGGUUUGUCGCGUUGUUCGUGAAAACUCACAGCUCAACUGUGGGCGUGCGGGCGAUACGGGCAGACUGGAGUACUGCAGGGGAGACUGGAAUUCCUGGUGUAGCGGUGGAAUGCGCAGAUAUCAGGAGGAACACCGGUGGCGAAGGCGGGUCUCUGGGCCGGUACCGACGCUGAGGAGCGAAAGCGUGGGGAGCGAACAGG
rnacentral:rRNA from 1 species